rnacentral:lncRNA from 1 species
CCACAGAGUAAAAUAUGAAUGUUUCCGGUGUGAAAGGACUAGUUUGUUUUCAACCCACCUUCUCAUGGAACCAACUAGGAAAUCUAGGUUUACAUCAUCAUUUUCAAUGGAAAGGAUUCCAUUUGGUUUUCAAACUUUAACCUACACCAAAUGUGAACGCGUUUGAGAAUUUGAACUGAAUUGUUUAAGCCAUUUUUGAGUUACGUGAAGGUUAUUAAACUGAUACAUAGAGAUGACAGUUAAUUGAGCAAAACGACACAAUCAAUACGUAGUGAUAUUGGGACACCAACCUAGGGCCAUGUAGCUCUAGAAUUAGAGCUCUUCAUUUCUCUUCUCUUUGGCCUAUUUCUGAUAUCACAUGCCAUGCUGAACCAAGGGGAGUCUCCGAAGGGUGCUGUCCCUGUCAAUGAAAUAAGAAGCGGCUAGCUGAUGUAGCGUCUCCAGAGUGACCGAAGAGCUAUUGGUGGUGGAAUCACUUCCUUCAGCUCGUUUGCUCAACUUCCGCUUGUCCACAAAAAUUGUUAGUUUUGGGUUGCUGAGAGCAUAAAUGUGAAAAUAGGCAGGAGUUACAGAAUUACAGAGUUCCUCUACAUUAAGAAUAACUUUCAGGCCCAUUUGCUUUUUACAUCCUACUGGUGUUUAACCUGGAGUCUUUUGCUAUUUUACGAAGAGUAUUGAAACAUGUCUCUCUGGAGUCAAAUAUUUCAUUUCAGGCACCUCCCUUUAUGAUGUCAAUCUAAGGGCUGAGCUAAGGGAAAUAAAUGUGAUUAUUGUUAUGAGGGCAUACAGUGAGAUGGCAGCAGCCUGUAAGCCAGAAACAGAAGCAUCACCAGAAACUGACCAUGCUGGUACCCUAAUCUCAGACUUCCAGAUUUCUGAAGAACUUCAAAGAAACAAAAGUCUAUUGUUUAAGCCACCUAGUCUGUCACAUUUUGUUAUGGCAAUGUGAGCUAACUAAUACACUACCUUUAAAAUAUAAAC